GUCCUGAUCAACAUGCUCAAAAACUAAGGUCACUUUAGUCUCGCGGUCUGUCCGAGCGGAGGCACAAACAUCCAUCAGCCUUAGAAUAUUUGGAUGUUCA